rnacentral:siRNA from 1 species
GUGUAAACUACGUAUUUUUACCA